GUGGUCGCUUCAGCGCACAUACGCCAAAAUUGGAAUGAUACAGAGAGGAUUAGCGUGGCCCCUGCGCAAGGAUGACACACAAAUUCAUGAAGCAUUCCAUAUUUUA
ensembl:snRNA U6 U6 spliceosomal RNA